rnacentral:lncRNA from 1 species
GAUUGUCAACGUUACCAUGGCAACCUGUUUGAAGGGGCUGCCAAGAAAGGCACCUCAGGCUUCCCUACAGCUGACACUCACCAAUGAUGCUCAUCUUUGACUAAAGGGGUGGAGCACAAACUCUUGAUGUAACCAGCAUCCUAUACCAAAGGACUUUUUUUUUUCCACGUUAUCAGAUAAUUAAGAAUUCAUUGAAUUCCUAAUAUGAGCUGAAUUCUGGUGCAGCGCAGAACAUUCCAAAGCUGUGGGCUCCCUACACCCGCCAAAGUGAGAGGACAUAUGGAGCUUCUCCUUGUGUUUCCAUUCAUUCUCCCUUCUCUCUGCACUCAGAAGGAAAUGGUGGUAAUUCCCAAGUGCAAUCGAGGACAUCUUCGUGAGGCCAGCAAACACCUGCAGGGACCAGCCUUGUAGACCACAGUCCGGAACCCAGGCCAUGACAAUACAUGUGAUUCAUCUACACAGGCACCAGCUUGGGAGAAAGAGGAAGAAAGGCAACUCUUUGAGAACAGCAGAACUGAAGAUCUAGCCAAACGUCUACGCAAGAUUUAGGGAAUGGACACUUAAGAUGUUUAGAUAAGUUAUUGAAAUAAAGAAGCUAUCAUUUUUGGCA